rnacentral:lncRNA from 1 species
UAGGGCACCAAUAUAGAUGAACGGAGAUGAAUGAUGAAAAUCUCCAUUCCUAUUGGUCAAAAAUCAUGACCAAUAGGCUUUGAAGAGGCUGCUCGAAGCCAUAUUAGGGAUUAGGAUUAGAUUCUCGGAGCUAUUUCAGCUUUGGAGGCUAAGAUCAGUAAGUUGAGAUUUUGGCUAUGGUUUCGGUGUAAGUUUUGUAUGGUUUGGAGUUUAUAUGAAGGAAAUAGAAGCGCUCAAAGUUAAGGUACUGAUUUGAGAGCUAUUGUCACUCUUUUUGGCAUAACGCACGUGUACGGAUAGCAAUUUCAGAUCGGUGAUCGCGACUAGAGAGAGCACUUUUGCAGUUACACUUUUUACAUAUUGUUUACUGGAUUCCAAGUUAAAAUAAAGGAGUUAUGGGAUUUUGAAGUCAACACAUGCAAUCUAAGAAAAAGUAAGUGACUGUCAUGGUCAUACUCAUAAUUACAUAUACAAAUAUGUAGAAGUAAGUAAAAGUAGGUAAAAGUAAGUUAAUUCUAUAGUAUUUGAUAUAGAAGCUUCUUAAAAGCUUCAAAGACGCUACUUUGACUUCGUAGGUGUCUUUAAUUGACUUUUUGGAUUAGAAACGUGGUCAACAA